CACCAGGUUUUUCUCAAAACCACAAUAAACCCAGUAAAAUAGCUU
rfam:Astyanax mexicanus chromosome 9, whole genome shotgun sequence.